CUCUGCUAACUAUACAGAGAUGAAGGGGAGAGGUAUUUGCAUCCUAUGUGAAAGUAAUUUCAGCAGAACAUUUGCUUAUAAAAUUUCCAGGCAUGGUCUGCAUAAGAACGUCCAUGACUUCCGUCCCAUCUCACAUCAGUUGAGGGUUCCCCAGGAGACUCUCCACCGUUCCUCAGAAGGUUCUGCUUUUUGCUGGAAAGAGCUACAUGAACAUACGACUGAGAUUGUUUUGCAAGACUUGGUGACCUACAGCUGGUCCACAGCUAAUUGCUGGAGCCUCACUGGAGAUGUAAAUACUGUAGUUUCGGGACACACACCUGAAGAGCACAAACCUCUAUGUAAUGGGUCAGAGAGCAGCAGUUCAUUUCUUGAUGCCUUUUUCACAUAUGCACCAUCUGUAUACUGAAUGACAUGCAUGGAAAAUGUGUUUAACGGUGGAGAAACAGAAAUGCGUAGUGGUUUUUGAGCUCUUAGUUUUGUGUCAUGAAAAUGAAUUUCAAUCCUGUCUGUCCCAUUUGUUAGCUGCAUCUGUUUUUCUAUCAGUACAAUGCAUGUAACGCUCUUGGGACAGUUAUUGUGUGAGUUAAAUAAAUGGAUGUGUGUAAAAACACUUGGCGUGGUGCCUAGAACAGAGUAAGACAUCAAACAAUAGCUGCUGUUAUUCUGUAGGAUAUAGUGUUCUGCUACCUGACUCUUCUGAAAAGGAAACUAAUACCCAAAUUUGUCUCAUGUGAGUUUUAGUCUCGUGGGAUCAACUAUGAAGGCUGCUAGCAGAGCUCAAUGGGAGAAAACCCAGUGUCUGACCUGUGGCUACAGAGGGGUUGUGUCUUUGGUUCCUUUUAGUCUGGCCAACCUGGUCCUUUACCAGCAUGAAGCUGCUUCCUCCCAAGGUUUUCACUUGCAAAAACAAGAAGACCCUGGAGCCCAACAACUAGUUACUUAUUUUUAAAUGUUUUGAAAUAAAAAUAAUAGCGUGAGGCUUUUGCUUCAGCUCUCUUUCUGAAAUGACUCUUGACAGGAACUGGAAAUGGUUCCUGUCAAUGUAGUCUCUCUCGCUCAUGACCAAACGGGAUGUAGGAGAUUGGGUGGAAUUUUCUGAGUUCUUUGUAUACCUAGGAAUGACAUGUCUGUCAUUUAGUUAAAAUAAGUUAUUGGUUUUUAAAUCAAAUUAAAAUAUUGAGUCAACAAGCAGGUACUGUACUUGAAUUCUCUCUUAUUUGUAAGAACCGUUUUUCACUAUUUCAUGAGUAGUGGGGGAAAACAAGGGGUUAUAAAUAACAAAAACAUGUUUUGGGCUUCAUGAAACCCAUAGAGGCAAUUAUAGGACAGUCUGGAAAAAAGUUGAAAUGACCAUUAUUUCUCAGGAAAAAAAAAUCUUUCUUGCCUUAUCAAAUAAGCAAGCUGACAAUAUUCUUUGAAAACAAUUUUAGAAUAUUUACUUCCUUCUUUCACUGGAGGCCUGUGCUGAACUCAGAUCAUUUCUUCUUGAGUCCUGUACUUUCUCUCCUUCCUGUGAAUAAGAGUGGUAAUUGUCUUCAGCAUCACUUCAGGGCUUAGACUUGAAAAAAGUCUUAAGAGCAAGACAGGUGAUUGGUUUUGCUCGAGGGAUCUAGAGAAAGCUGGACACACAUUCAAUGGAAUAGUAGACUAAUUACAGAUAGCUGUAGCAGAUCAAGUGUUGACUUCUUCCGGUGAUUAAGAGAUAGCACAAUUUCGGGUUACUGUGUUGUUGCUUCAGGACUUGCCAUGUUUAAAUAUCCAUGGCCUGGGAGUAAAUGGGCAAUGAUCAGUCUAGUCUCUUGUUUAAAUUACCUCCAAAGCUCUAUUUGUUUCAGAAAUAUCAGAAAUAAUCCAGAAACUCCCCAGAUUCUUAGUCUGAGAAUCUGAAUUUCCUUGCUCUGCUUCUUGUCCAGUUCCUAUGAUUCUAUAUCUCUCUUCUAACCUUGGGCUUCGCAUGCUAAACUCAUAACAAAUAACUGUCUCUGAACUCUCUCAGAAAUGUGCCUCUCUGCCUUUGAAUUUCAUAUGCCUUUUGUCUUGAAUGGCCUCACUCCCUUUGUUUCCUAAAAUAACUGAUAAAUUAUCAUUUAAAACAUGCUUCUGGUGGUUGUUGCUCUAGUCGCUAAGUCGUGUCUGACUCUUGCGACCCCAUGGACAGAGGAGCCUGGCAGGCUACAGUCCAUGGGAUUCUCCAGGCAAGAAUACUGGAGUGGGUUGCCAUUUCCUUCUCUGAGUUCCAGGAAUCAAACUCAGGUCUCCUGCAUCGUAGGCAGAUUCUUUACCAACUGAGCUACAAGAGAAGCCUCUUAAAACAUGCUGCUCAGCCCCAAAUCUGGGUUAUGUGUACUUUCUAUGUUAUUUCAAAAUUUCCUUUAUUUAUCUCAAUCAUUAUAUUUAUUACAUUAUAAUCUACUGCUUCAUUAUUUGCAUCUACCUCCAAACCAAUCACUUUGAUUUAACUGGUGUUAGGUGGGUUCCAGAUCGGGAAAGGAGUAUGUCAAGGCUGUAUAUUGUCACCCUGCUUAUUUAACUUAUAUGCAGAGUACAUCAUGAGAAACCCUGGGCUGGAAGAAGCACAAGCUGGAAUCAAGAUUGCUGGGAGAAAUAUCAAUAACCUCAGAUAUGCAGAUGACACCACCCUUAUGGCAGAAAGUGAAGAAGAACUAAAGAGCCUCUUGAUGAAAGUGAAAGAGAAGAGUGAAAAAGUUGGCUUAAAACUCAACAUUCAGAAAACUAAGGUCAUGGCAUCUGGUCCCAUCACUUCAUGGCAAAUAGAUGGGGAAACAAUGGAAACAGUGACAGACUUCAUUUUGGGGGGCUCCAAAAUGACUGCAGAUGGUGACUGCAGCCAUAAAAUUAAAAGAUGCUUGCUCCUUAAAGAUGAAGAGUUAUGACCAACCUAGACAGCAUAUUAAAAAGCAGAGACAUUACUUUGCCAACAAAGAUCCAUCUAGUAAAAGCUAUGGUUUUUCCAGUAGUCAUGUAUGAAUGUGAGAGUUGGAUUAUAAAGAAAGCUGAGUGCCAAAGAAUUGAUGCUUUUGAACUGUGGUGUUGGAGAAGACUCUUGAGAGUCCCUUGGACUGCAAGGAGAUCCAACCAGUCCAUCCUAAAGGAAACCAGUCGUGAAUAUUCAUUGGACAGACUGGUGCUGAAGCUGAAGCUCCAUAACUUUGGCCACCUGAUGCGAAGAACUUACUCAUUGGGAAAGACCCUGAUGCUGGGAAAGAUUGAAGGCGGGAGGAGAAGGGGAUGACAGAGGAUGAGAUGGUUGGAUGGCAUCACUGACUCAAUGGAAGUGAGUUUGAGUAAACUCCGGGAGUUGGUGAUGGACAGGGAGGCCCGGCGUGCUGCAGUCCAUGGGGUCGCAAAGAGUCGGACACGACUGAGCGACUGAACUGACUGAACUGAAGUGAGGUGGGACCUUCUCUUCAGUGGUCUGUUUUAAAAGCUGCCUGGUGAUUUGGUUCACAGUGAGAAUUAAGACACAAUGGAUCAGAGUGAAAGCUCUAUUAAGACAGGACAGUUGACUAGUUUGUCGUCAUACUCCAUCCUAGUUCAGUGCUGGAAACAUGGUGAAUACUCAAGAAAUAUCUAUGGAUUAAAUGUCAUUGUAUCCCCAGUGCUUGGUCCAGGAUAAAACAUUAAUGAAUACGUUAAAUUCUGCACAAACUAGUAAACCACGGUCUUUGCAUUUUAAAAACUGAUAAGAUAGGGAUGAGGGAAAUUAGAAAAGUACACCAAGAAUUCUGAUAUAAUCACUCAUACAAUCAGUGGUAAAAAUAUUUACAGUGGUUGUAGUGCUUUCUUAUGGAGAAUAUCUUUUGUAGUGG
rnacentral:lncRNA from 1 species